GCUGGGCGUGGUAGUGCACACCUGUAAUCCCAGCAAUCCUAGGAGGCUGAGGCAGGAGGAUCACAAGUUCGAGCGAAGCCAGCCUGGGCAACUUAGUGAGACCCUGUUUCAA
rnacentral:sRNA from 1 species